AGUCGUGUGGCCGAGUGGUUAUGGCGGCAGUUUUAAGCACUGCUCCGAAAGGAUCGCGGGUUCAAUCCCCGUCGCGACUA
rnacentral:tRNA from 1 species